UGCAAGUCGUGCGGACCUUUUAAAAGCUUGCUUUUAAAAGGUUAGCGGCGGACGGGUGAGUAACACGUGGGCAACCUGCCUGUAAGACUGGGAUAACGCCGGGAAACCGGGGCUAAUACCAGAUCGUUUUUUCCUCCGCAUGGAGGAAAAAGGAAAGGCGGCUUCGGCUGCCACUUACAGAUGGGCCCGCGGCGCAUUAGCUAGUUGGCGGGGUAACGGCCCACCAAGGCAACGAUGCGUAGCCGACCUGAGAGGGUGAUCGGCCACAUUGGGACUGAGACACGGCCCAAACUCCUACGGGAGGCAGCAGUAGGGAAUCUUCCGCAAUGGACGAAAGUCUGACGGAGCAACGCCGCGUGAGUGAAGAAGGCCUUCGGGUCGUAAAACUCUGUUGCCGGGGAAGAACAAGUGCCGUUCGAACAGGGCGGCGCCUUGACGGUACCCGGCCAGAAAGCCACGGCUAACUAC
rnacentral:rRNA from 1 species